rnacentral:rRNA from 1 species
UAAUAGCGUAUAUUAAAAUUGUUGCAGUUAAAAAGCUCGUAGUUGGAUUUAAAAAUUGAUAUAAAUGGUCAUAUCUUUAUUUAUAAAGGAUGAACUAAUUAUAUAAAUUUUAAAAAAUUCUAAAGAUUUUAAGUAAAAUUAAAAUAUUUGGAGACGAUUACCUUGAAGAAAAUAGAGUGUUCAAGGCAAGCUAUAAAGCGAUUGAAUAUAUUAGCAUGGAAUAAUAAUAUAAGACUUUAGUCUAAUUUUGUUGGUUUUGAGGCUAAAGUAAUGAUUAAUAGGGACAGUCGGGGGUGUUUGUAUUGCAACGGGAGCAGUGAAAUGCAUUGAUCGAUGCAAGACAGACUAAUGCGAAAGCAUUCAUCAAGGAUGUUUUCAUUAA